rnacentral:rRNA from 1 species
CCUACGGGAGGCUGCAGUGGGGAAUAUUGCACAAUGGGCGCAAGCCUGAUGCAGCCAUGCCGCGUGUGUGAAGAAGGCCUUCGGGUUGUAAAGCACUUUCAGCGGGGAGGAAGGCGGUGAGGUUAAUAACCUCAUCGAUUGACGUUACCCGCAGAAGAAGCACCGGCUAACUCCGUGCCAGCAGCCGCGGUAAUACGGAGGGUGCAAGCGUUAAUCGGAAUUACUGGGCGUAAAGCGCACGCAGGCGGUCUGUCAAGUCGGAUGUGAAAUCCCCGGGCUCAACCUGGGAACUGCAUUCGAAACUGACAGGCUAGAGUCUUGUAGAGGGGGGUAGAAUUCCAGGUGUAGCGGUGAAAUGCGUAGAGAUCUGGAGGAAUACCGGUGGCGAAGGCGGCCCCCUGGACAAAGACUGACGCUCAGGUGCGAAAGCGUGGGGAGCAAACAGGAUAGAUACCCCAGUAGUC